GUGUGAUUGUGGUUUUGGUGUGGUGUGUGAGUGUGAUUGUGGUUGUUGUGAUUGUGCAAGUGUGAUUGUGGUCUGUGUGGUUGUGUGAAUGUGAUUGUGGUCUGUGUGGUUGUGUGAGUGUGAUUGUGGUUUGUGUGGUUGUGUGAUGUUUGUGUGAUUGUGGUCUGUGUGGUUGUGUGAGUGUGAUUGUGGUUUGUGUGGUUGUGUGAUUGUGGUUGUGUGAGUGUGAUUAUGGUUUGUGUGGUUGUGUGACUGUGAUUGUGGUUUGUGUGGUUGUGUGAGUGUGAUUGUGGUUUUUGUG